CCGGGCCCUGAUAGAUGGGGUGCGGGGACGGAGACAAAUGACGGCCUUUGGGCUCGGAAUACCCACCUUUCUGGUAAUGCAGCCCAGCGGGUCCCAGCCUCGUUUUCCAGCCCUCACUCAAAAUGGAGUCGCUCUGGUUCGAACGCCUCUGACAAGUGUGUACCUACGUGUCAGGCCCAUCCUUCCUGCAGGCCUUUGUCUUGGUGUCACCCUGCCUGAGCUGGCCCCAACCACAGUAGCAACAGUGAUGCUGAUGUGUGACUGCUGCCAGGAGCCUGCUCACAUGACCGUGUGGAGAAAGUUCUUUCCCUGAGGACCAUCUGGAGUGGACGCGUGCACUACCCCUCUCUGAAUACACCCUCCCCACGAGGCCCUCUGGAGCAUCCUGUAGAGCCAGCCCCUACCCAGAGACCCUGAGCCCAGAGAAUGCGCUGGGUGGUGAGCCUGGGGACGAAUGCAGAGCCCUAGGUCUCCUCUCCAGAAGUAAGUAUGGGGUUUGUGUAAAUUGCUUGGUCAGGAGGGCGGGACCUGGGGUCUUCACUAGGCUUCCCAAAAACUGGGUUGAGCAC
rnacentral:lncRNA from 10 species